rnacentral:rRNA from 1 species
UUAGGGGUUUCUGGUUUUUCAAGAAAUGAAUUUAAUUCAUGCGUCUUAUUUAGAGUUUUAUUAUUUGUUUAUUUAUUUUUAUUUGGCGUUAAGAUUGGGGGGGAUUAGCUUCUUAUUUUAUUUUUAUAAUUUUUUGUUUAUUUAGUCUUGUGGGUUUUAUAGUGAUUUUCAAUUUGAUUAUGUUAAAAUUUUAUUUGUUUUGUUCUUUAUUUUUAUUUAUUUAAUUAUUUAUUGAAAUGUAUUCUUUAUUUUGUUUUGGUUAGUAAUUAUUGUAGAAUUAGUAAAUUUGUUGUUAGGUUGUUUUAUUUGUGUUAAUUUUCUUUGAGGAACUAGGCAAAUUUCAUGCCCGCCUGUUUAACAAAAACAUCUUUUCUCGUUAGUUUUUGAAGUAUGGCCUGCCCACUGACUUUGGUGUUGAAGGGCCGCGGUAUUUUGACCGUGCAAAGGUAGCAUAGUCAUUAGUUCUUUAAUUGUGAUCUGGUAUGAAUGGCUUGACGAGGCAUGGGCUGUCUUAAUUUUGAAUUGUUUAUUGAAUUUGGUCUUUGAGUUAAAAUUCUUAGAUGUUUUUAUGGGACGAGAAGACCCUAUAGAGUUUAACAUUUGUUAUGGUCCCUUUCUGUUUGUGAGGGUUCACUGGGCCGUCUAAUAUGUUUUGUUGGGGUGAUGGGAGGGAUAUAAUUUAA